GGCGAACGGGUGAGUAACACUGUGGGCAUACCUGCCCCUCGCUCUGGGACAACUCCGGGAAACCGGGGCUAAUACCGGUAUACGACUUCCUCGGGCAUCUGGGGGAGUGGAAAGUUUUUCGGCGUAGGGAUGGGCCCGCGGCCUAUCAGCUUGUUGGUGGGGUGAUGGCCUACCAAGGCGACGGUACGGGUAGCCGGCCUGAGAGGGCGACCGGCCACACUGGGACUGAGACACGGCCCAGACUCCUACGGGAGGCAGCAGUGGGGAAUAUUGCGCAAUGGGCGAAAGCCUGACUGCAGCGACGCCGCGUGAGGGAUGACGGCCUUCGUGUUGUAACCCGCUUUCAGUAGGGACGAUAUCGAAAGUGACGGUACCUACAGAAGAAGGACCGGCUUACUACGUGCCAUCAUCCUCG
rnacentral:rRNA from 1 species